rnacentral:rRNA from 1 species
GACGAACGCUGGCGGCGUGCUUAACACAUGCAAGUCGAACGGAAAGGCCCUGCUUUUGUGGGGUUCUCGAGUGGCGAACGGGUGAGUAACACGUGUGUAACCUGCCCUUGUCUUUGGGAUAUCUUCAGGAAACUGGGGCUAAUACCGUAUAUGAGCUCCUGCUGCAUGGUGGGGGUUGGAAAGUUUCGGCGGUUGGGGAUGGACUCGCGGGUUAUCAGCUUGUUGGUGGGGUAGUGGCUUACCAAGGGUUUGACGGGUAGCCGACCUGAGAGGGUGACCGGCCACAAUGGGACUGAGAUACGGACCAGAGUGGAACGGGAGGCAGCAGUGGGGAAUAUUGCAAAAUGGGGGGAAGCCUGAUGAAGAAACGCAGCGAGCGGGAUGACGGCCUUCGGGUUGUAAACCGAUGUAGACUGUGACGAAGAGGGAGUGACGGUAAUGGGUAAAGAAGCACCGGCUAACUACGUG